rnacentral:rRNA from 1 species
UGGGUAACCUGCCUCAAAGAGGGGAAUAGCCUCCCGAAAGGGAGAUUAAUACCGCAUAAUAUGUUUAGGUCGCAUGACUUUAACAUCAAAGGAUUUCUUUAGAAAUUCCACUUUGAGAUGGACCCGCGGCGCAUUAGCUAGUUGGUGAGGUAACGGCUCACCAAGGCAACGAUGCGUAGCCGACCUGAGAGGGUGAUCGGCCACAUUGGAACUGAGACACGGUCCAGCUCCGUAGG